rnacentral:rRNA from 1 species
CUGCCCACUGAUAAUAGUGUUUUAAAGGGCCGCGGUAAUUUGACCGUGCAAAGGUAGCAUAAUCGUUAGUUUUUUAAUUGGAAUCUUGUAUGAAUGGUUUGACAAAAGAAAAUCUGUCUCUAUCUUUUUCUUUGAAUUUAACUUUUAAGUGAAAAGGCUUAAAUAGUUUAAAAAGACGAUAAGACCCUAUAAAGCUUUAUAAAUUGUUCGUUAUUAAGCUGAAUUGGUAAAUAAUAGUUUAGUAAGGGAAGUUUAUUUUAUUGGGGCGAUAGUGGUAAAAUGUUUAUUAACUGUUAAAAUUUUAAGACAAAUAUAGUUGAGUAAAGUUGUAUAAAUUGAUCCUGAAAUACAGAUUAAAAGUUUAAGUUACUUUAGGGAUAACAGCGUUAUUUUUUUUGAGAGUUCAUAUCGAAAAAAAAGUUUGCGACCUCGAUGUUGAAUUAAAAUGUCUG